GAUGAAGAACGCAGCGAAAUGCGAUAAGUAAUGUGAAUUGCAGAAUUCAGUGAAUCAUCGAAUCUUUGAACGCACAUUGCGCCCGCCAGCAUUCUGGCGGGCAUGCCUAUUCGAGCGUCAUUUCAACCCUCGAGCCCCCCCGGGGGCCUCGGUGUUGGGGGACGGCACACCAGCCGCCCCCGAAAUGCAGUGGCGACCCCGCCGCAGCCUCCCCUGCGUAGUAGCACACACCUCGCACCGGAGCGCGGAGGCGGUCACGCCGUAAAACGCCCAACUUUCUUAGAGUUGACCUCGGAUCAGGUAGGAAUACCCGCUGAACUUAAGCAUAUCAAUAAGCGGAGGA
rnacentral:misc_RNA from 1 species